GCUUACGGCCACACCGCCUGGUAUACGCUUGAUCUCGGAAGAUAAGGUAGGUUGGGCCUGGUUAGUACUUGGAUGGAAGACCGCCUGGGAAUACCAGGUGCUGUAAGCU
ensembl:rRNA 5S_rRNA 5S ribosomal RNA